rnacentral:rRNA from 1 species
ACAUGCAAGUCGAGCGGUAGCAGAUCUAGCUUGCUAGAUGCUGACGAGCGGCGGACGGGUGAGUAACGCGUAGGAACCUGCCCAGUAGUGGGGGAUAGCCCGGGGAAACUCGGAUUAAUACCGCAUACGCUCUACGGAGGAAAGAGGGGCUUCGGCUCUCGCUAUUGGAUGGGCCUGCGUGAGAUUAGCUAGUUGGUGGGGUAAUGGCUCACCAAGGCGACGAUCUCUAGCUGGUCUGAGAGGAUGAUCAGCCACACUGGGACUGAGACACGGCCCAGACUCCUACGGGAGGCAGCAGUGGGAAAUAUUGCACAAUGGGCGCAAGCCUGAUGCAGCCAUGCCGCGUGCGUGAAGAAGGCUUUCGGGUUGUAAAGCACUUUCAGUGGGGAGGAAGGCCUCGUAGUUAAUAGCUGCGAGGAUUGACGUUACCCACAGAAGAAGCACCGGCUAACUCCGUG